AUUGAACGCUGGCGGCAGGCCUAACACAUGCAAGUCGAACGGCAGCACAGAAGAGCUUGCUCUUUGGGUGGCGAGUGGCGGACGGGUGAGUAAUGUCUGGGAAACUGCCCGAUGGAGGGGGAUAACUACUGGAAACGGUAGCUAAUACCGCAUAACGUCGCGAGACCAAAGUGGGGGACCUUCGGGCCUCACACCAUCGGAUGUGCCCAGAUGGGAUUAGCUAGUAGGUGGGGUAAUGGCUCACCUAGGCGACGAUCCCUAGCUGGUCUGAGAGGAUGACCGGCCACACUGGAACUGAGACACGGUCCAGACUCCUACGGGAGGCAGCAGUGGGGAAUAUUGCACAAUGGGCGCAAGCCUGAUGCAGCCAUGCCGCGUGUAUGAAGAAGGCCUUCGGGUUGUAAAGUAUUUUCAGCGGGGAGGAAGGCGGUGAGGUUAAUAACCUUGCCGAUUGACGUUACCCGCAGAAGAAGCACCGGCUAACUCCGUGCCAGCAGCCGCCGUAA
rnacentral:rRNA from 1 species